GCCUGGGUGGCUCAGUCGGUUAAGCGUCUGACUUCGGUUCAGGUCAUGAUCUCACAGUUCGUGGGUUCGAGCCCUGCGUCGGGCU
rnacentral:tRNA from 1 species